ensembl:piRNA 21ur-4469 ncRNA
UUUCGGGCAGAUCCAUUUUUC